rnacentral:rRNA from 1 species
UACGUAGGGUGCGAGCGUUAAUCGGAAUUACUGGGCGUAAAGCGUGCGCAGGCGGCGCGUUAAGACAGGUGUGAAAAGCCCCGAGCUUAACUUGGGAAUUGCGCUUGUGACUGGCGGGCUGGAGUGUGGCAGAGGGAGGUGGAAUUCCACGUGUAGCAGUGAAAUGCGUAGAGAUGUGGAGGAACACCGAUGGCGAAGGCAGCCUCCUGGGCCAGCACUGACGCUCAUGCACGAAAGCGUGGGGAGCAAACAGG